GACAGAGGGUGCAGACGUUGUUCGGAAUUACUGGGCGUAAAGGGCGCGUAGGCGGCCCUCCUUGUCGCGUGUGAAAGCCCCGGGCUCAACCUGGGAACGGCGCGCGAGACGGGGGGGCUGGAGUUCGGGAGAGGAGCGUGGAAUUCCCAGUGUAGAGGUGAAAUUCGUAGAUAUUGGGAAGAACACCGGUGGCGAAGGCGGCGCUCUGGACCGAGACUGACGCUGAGGCGCGAAAGCGUGGGGAGCAAACAGG
rnacentral:rRNA from 1 species